UGGGGAAUUUUGCGCAAUGGGCGAAAGCCUGACGCAGCAACGCCGCGUGGGUGAUGAAGGUCUUCGGACUGUAAAACCCUGUCGUCAGGGACGAAGGUACUGUGGUUAAUAACCGUGGUGCUUGACGGUACCUGGAGAGGAAGCCCCGGCUAACUCUGUG
rnacentral:rRNA from 1 species